GAUGAAGAACGCAGCGAAAUGCGAUAAGUAAUGUGAAUUGCAGAAUUCAGUGAAUCAUCGAAUCUUUGAACGCACAUUGCGCCCGCCAGUAUUCUGGCGGGCAUGCCUGUUCGAGCGUCAUUACAACCCUCAGGCCCCCGGGCCUGGCGUUGGGGAUCGGCGGAAGCCCCCUGCGGGCACAACGCCGUCCCCCAAAUACAGUGGCGGUCCCGCCGCAGCUUCCAUUGCGUAGUAGCUAACACCACGCAACUGGAGAGCGGCGCGGCCACGCCGUAAAACACCCAACUUCUGAAUGUUGACCUCGAAUCAGGUAGGAAUACCCGCUGAACUUAAGCAUAUCAAUAAGCGGAGGA
rnacentral:misc_RNA from 1 species